rnacentral:lncRNA from 1 species
AUCAGAAUUGCCUUUAUUGCUCUUAUUUCUACCAACAUUCUCAUCACCAUCACAUAAGUAAUCUCUAAGCAGAUUUAGACUUUUACUACAGCUCUCCUCCUCUUCUCAGCCUUCACCAGAACCACAUUUAAUGCUCUGUUCAUAGCAACAUAGGCUUUUCAUAGCCUGCUUCCCCACAUUCUUCCAGCCUCUACCUGUUACCCAGUUCCAAAACCGCUUUCACAUUUUCAGGUAUUUGUUAUAGCAACAGCCCCAUUUCUCAGUACCAGUUUUCUGUCUUUGUCCAGUUUGUGUUGCUAUAAAAGGUACUAUUUUAGACGUAACCUAAAUGAUGAAGGGAAGUGCCACGUGUUGAAUGGGGAAGAGAGAAUUCAGGUACAGGGAACAACCCAUGCAAAGGUUCAUACAUGCUGGAAAGAAGUUGGUGUUUGAGGUAUCCAGAGCAGAUCAACUUACUGUACAGUUAGUGGGGAGUGAGGUCGGCUGACACUUGAUUGUGCAGGACCUGGGAGGCCAUGGUAA